UACGUAGGGGGCAAGCGUUGUCCGGAAUCAUUGGGCGUAAAGAGCGCGUAGGCGGUCCGGUAAGUCCGCUGUGAAAGUCGGGGGCUCAACCCUCGGAUGCCGGUGGAUACUGUCGGGCUUGAGUACGGAAGAGGCGAGUGGAAUUCCUGGUGUAGCGGUGAAAUGCGCAGAUAUCAGGAAGAACACCCGUGGCGAAGGCGGCUCUCUGGAACGCAACUGACGCUGAGACGCGAAAGCGUGGGGAGCAAACAGG
rnacentral:rRNA from 1 species